AAGUGUAAAGCAAAUGCUCGUAAUUGGUUGCAUAAGGACUACAACGCAUUUUAUCCCCACGGCAUAAUCUCCUUAGCCGAUGUACAGCGUUGUGAUUUUGUGUUUGGUCCAGCUGUUAGCUGUUGGGAAUGACCAUUGGUGGUGUUAUGCCAUUAAUUGUCAAAGCAGACAUUCUCUUGGGAACCGAAUUGCAGCACGUAAACGUUUGAACAAAAAUAUCAGAUAUCGAGAUAGCUCUCCACUUUGGCAAGUGGGAAAACCAAAG
rnacentral:sRNA from 1 species